GAGUUUGAUCGUGGCUCAGGAUGAACGCUAGCGGCGCGCCUAAUGCAUGCAAGUCGAGCGACGAGGCACCUUUGGGUGUACAUCAGCGGCAGACGGGUGAGUAACACGUAGGUGACCUACCCCGAAGACGGGGGAUAACAGGUGGAAACAUCUGCUAAUACCCGAUGGACUCUGAGCGGAAGCGAGGAGUAAAGGCUACGGUGCUUCGGGAGGGGCCUGCGGCCUAUCAGCUAGUUGGUAGGGUAACGGCCUACCAAGGCGAAGACGGGUAGGGGGUGUGAGAGCACGGCCCCCCACCAAUAGG
rnacentral:rRNA from 1 species